rnacentral:sRNA from 1 species
GUCCUGGGGUACCUCGGCUUUUGGUGAAGAUCCAGGAAGUGGGACUGGGGGGAAGGAGGGACCAGGAGGAGGGGCGUGCAGCUCAGCAGUGCCUUGUUCCCCUGCAGUAACCGGGCCGCCCUGCACCUCUAUUCCAACACCCUCAACUUUCAGAUCAGUGAAGUGGAGCCCAAAUACUAUGCAGAUGGGGAGGACGCCUAUGCCAUGAAGCGGGACCUCACUCAGAUGGCCGAUGAGGUAAGCGCCUGCAUGAAGCCAAGCAAGGCAAGCGGGGGCGGCACUCGGGAGCCCCGAGACGGUGGCUGGAGGCGAGACCGACUUUGGAUGCCAGCUCUUGUGGCUACGUUGCCAGGAGUCACGACCUCAGUUUCCUAGGCUGGGCUUUAGAGGAGGCCGUCUGCCUAGCAGCCUGGAGGGUGAUGGGAGAGGCAGAGGGAGGAGGCUUUUAGAAGGGAAGUGGGGAGGCCUGGGGACCAGUGGGUGGCCUGCCUGCUCAGAGGUAGUUCUGAGUCAGGGUUCUGCCCAAGGCUCCUCGGGUGGCAGGGCUGGUCAAGGGGCAGCGCUCUGUCAUGGGGGUCUCCAUGGUAGUCAGUGAGCCCAGGUAGUGGUGGACUGGGGCUCCAGCCAGGUGUCCCCACUCAGUCCCGCGUGUCCUGCCUAGCCCUGCUGCCUCACUAUGCCCCUCUCCUCAGCCAGCGACAGGGCCA